UUUAAACUAACCCCCCCCCUUUUUUAGGGUUGGGUACUGGUUCGGGAUCACGCUGACGGCGUGCUAAUACAUGCACGUCGAGCGGACAGAUGGGAGCUUGCUCCUUGAUCUUAGCGGCGGACGGGUGAGUAACACGUGGGUAACCUGCCUGUAAGACUGGGAUAAAUCCGGGAAACCGGGGGUAAUACCGGAUGAUUGUCUGAUCCGCAUGGUUCGAACAUAAAAGGUGGCUUCGGCUACCACUUACAGAUGGACCCGCGGCGCCUUAGCUAGUUGGUGAGGUAAUGGCUCACCAAGGCAACGAUGCGUAGCCGACCUGAGAGGGUGAUCGGCCACCCUGGGAAUGAGACCCGGCCCCGACUCCUACGGGAGGCAGCCGUAGGGAAUCUUCCGCAAUGGACGAAAGUUUGACGGAGCAACGCCGCCUGAGUGAUGAAGGUUUUUGGAUCGUAAAGCUUUGUUGUUCGGGAAGAACAAGUACCGUUUGAAUAGGGCGGUACCUUGACGGUACCUAACCAGAAAGCCCCGGCUAAAUACGUGCCAGCAGCCGCGGUAAUACGUAGGUGGCCAGCGUUGUCCGGAAUUAUUGGGCGUAAAGGGCUCGCCGGCGGUUUAUUAAGUUUGAUGUGAAAGCCCCCGGCUCAACCGGGGAGGGUCAUUGGAAACUGGGGAACUUGAGUGCAGAAGAGGAGAGUGGAAUUCCACGUGUAGCGGUGAAAUGCGUAGAGAUGUGGAGGAACACCAGUGGCGAAGGCGACUCUCUGGUCUGUAACUGACGCUGAGGAGCGAAAGCGUGGGGAGCGAACAGGAUUAGAUACCCUGGUAGUCCACGCCAAAAACGAUGAGUGCUAAGUGUUAGGGGUGUUUCCUGACCCCUUCUAGUGCCUGCAGCUAACGCAAUAAGCACUCCGCCCUGGGAAGUACGCUCGCACAGACUGAAACUCAAAGGAAUUGACGGGGGCCCGCACAAGCGGUGGAGCAUGUGGUUUAAUUCGAAGCAACGCGAAGAACCUUACCAGGUCUUGACAUCCUCUGAACAUCCUAGAAAUAGGACGUCCCCUUCGGGGGCAGAGUGACAGGUGGUGCAUGGUUGUCGUCAGCUCGUGUCGUGAGAUGUUGGGUUAAGUCCCGCAACGAGCGCAACCCUUGAUCUUAGUUGCCAGCAUUCAGUUGGGCACUCUAAAGUGACUGCCGGUGACAAAACGGAGGAAGGUGGGGAUGACGUCAAAUCAUCAUGCCCCUUAUGACCUGGGCUACACACGUGCUACAAUGGACAGAACAAAGGGCAGCGAAACCGCGAGGUUAAGCCAAUCCCACAAAUCUGUUCUCAGUUCGGAUCGCAGGCUGCAACUCGACUGCGUGAAGCUGGAAUCGCUAGUAAUCGCGGAUCAGCAUGCCGCGGUGAAUACGUUCCCGGGCCUUGUACACACCGCCCGUCACACCACGAGAGUUUGUAACACCCGAAGUCGGUGAGGUAACCUUUUAGGAGCCAGCCGCCAAAGGUGGGACAGAUGAUGGGGGUUGAAGUCGUAACAA
rnacentral:rRNA from 1 species